rnacentral:lncRNA from 1 species
CCACGAAGCCCUCCUUGAUUGCUGGGCCCUGGUUGAACUCCUUAUUAGUAACACCCAGGUUAGUCCUACUUAAUUCUUACCUGCAGCCAAAGUGGACUUAGCAUCUCCUUGCAUGCCUGGUAAAGUCAAGGGUUUUCAGCCAGGGCCUGUGUAUAAAGCAGAAGCAGCACAGAGUCUGGUUUGAAGCUUAGUGCUUGGGUUCAGACAGUUGUGGGUUACAAUCCCUUCUACACAUGUUCUCUGUGGAAACCAUUUGGUUCUCUGUGCUUGGAACUCGCCUGCAACGGGACAAAGCCAUCUCACCUAGACUGUUGUUAUGAAGAUUGAAUUAGGUGAUUCUGAGAGGCAUUUAUGCGUCCUCCCUGAGUAACAAUCCAUGAAAAGUGGGCGUCAUUGCUGAAGCUCAAGGAAGAAAUAUGAAAUUUGAUUAUAUCCUUAUUCACGGCAUUGGGUCACCAACUCAGCACUUUUUAUGAAAGUAGCAUCUGACCUGGCAAAGGCUGUGUCAUCUUAUUACCUCAGAAAGACAAAUUUACGGGGUCAGACGAUGGAUGGCUUGUAGAUUUCUCAAUGGGCUGGAAGGAAGGAGAGAAAAAGAGAGACAGGAGAGAGUACACAUUUAAUUCUGCUUCCCCUAGGGUGAUAUUUCCUUCCUCCCCUUCCAGGGUUCUCAAAAAGGCAUUCUAGGAAGUCCUGUAAAAUACAUGCUCAUAAAAAUCUCAUAAUUUCCACAAAUUGUUGAGAAUUUAAAACUCGGUUGGGAGUUUGCUGUUUCAGCCUGAGACACCGGGGUCACGUUUCAGUGCCUGCAGUCUUGAGACAGUACCAGGCAUCUGGGAUGAAGCUGAGGAAAGAAGAUGUGGGGGCCCUGCUGGCCUGCUCCUUCUCUCGAAAGACGCUUACCGGCUGCUGGUGUGUCACAGGGCUUUAGGAUUUGGAAAAACAGAGGGAUUUAAAAGAAGAUAGAAUGGUCAGAAUUUCGAGAACUGUGUGCUGAAGUGCCAUCUUUAGGGUGCUCAUAACACGGCCUUACAACAUUAGAGGUGCUGGAAUCAUGGAAGAGGCAUCUGGACUCUGUAAUGUCCUUCCCCCUGGAAAAUCUGCUCCAGAAGUGGGGGAUUGGGAGCUGUCAACAUAUGAGCCAUCUUUUGCUCCGUUCAAGAUGGUACAGUCCUGCAGUCCUCAGAGGAUGCCAGUCCCACACAGGGGGAUCCUUCUCCAUAGGAAAACCGAGGAACAAUGCAGGUUCGAGGUGCACAGUGGCUAAGCACACUCAGUCCUCAAGAUCUUUCCUCUCAAAUGCUAAUGCUACCUUCAGAUGGGCUGCUGCCUGCUACCAUUUCAACAUUGAGUCCUUUAAGAUGCCAUCAGAGAGAGGGGAAGCAAGAGGCCAAGAAAAAUGAAAGGAGUUAAGAGUAAACCAUACUCCGGGCAACCAUCACCCCAAAAGGGAGACAACCAGACCUUCUGUGCCUCCCAAUGAAAGUCCACAUUCAACACCACCUACGAAGGAUUCUUACCAAAGACACCAAAACUGAACUCAGGCAACCCUCCAGAUAUAACUACCAAUUUGCAGAAAAUAAAAGGGAUAGAAGAACACAAAGAUGCA